GAUGAACGCUGGCGGCGUGCCUAAUACAUGCAAGUCGAGCGAACGGACGAGAAGCUUGCUUUUCUGAUGUUAGCGGCGGACGGGUGAGUAACACGUGGAUAACCUACCUAUAAGACUGGGAUAACUUCGGGAAACCGGAGCUAAUACCGGAUAAUAUUUUGAACCGCAUGGUUCAAAAGUGAAAGACGGUCUUGCUGUCACUUAUAGAUGGAUCCGCGCUGCAUUAGCUAUUUGGUAAGGUAACGGCUUACCAAGGCAACGAUGCAUAGCGGACCUGAGAGGGUGAUCGGCCACUCUGGAACUGAGCAACGGUCCAGACUCCUACGGGAGGAAGCAGUAGGGAAUCUUCCGCAAGGGGCGAAAGCCUGACGGAGCAACGCCGCGUGAGUGAUGAAGGUCUUCGGAUCGUAAAACUCUGUUAUUAGGGAAGAACAUAUGUGUAAGUAACUGUGCACAUCUUGACGGUACCUAAUCAGAAAGCCACGGCUAACUACGUG
rnacentral:rRNA from 1 species